AGAACGAACGCUGGCGGCAUGCCUAAUACAUGCAAGUCGAACGAAGGCUUCGGCCUUAGUGGCGCACGGGUGCGUAACGCGUGGGAAUCUGCCCCUUGGUUCGGAAUAACAGUUGGAAACGACUGCUAAUACCGGAUGAUGACGAAAGUCCAAAGAUUUAUCGCCAAGGGAUGAGCCCGCGUAGGAUUAGCUAGUUGGUGAGGUAAAGGCUCACCAAGGCGACGAUCCUUAGCUGGUCUGAGAGGAUGAUCAGCCACACUGGGACUGAGACACGGCCCAGACUCCUACGGGAGGCAGCAGUAGGGAAUAUUGCACAACGGGCGAAAGCCUGAUGCAGCGACGCCGCGUGGAGGGAUGAAGGCCUUCGGGUUGUAAACCUCUUUCAGCGAGGGACGAAGCGACAAGUGACGGUACCUGCAGAAGAAGCACCGGCUAACGACGUGCCAGCAGCCGC
rnacentral:rRNA from 1 species